rnacentral:rRNA from 1 species
CAGCAGCCGCGGUAAUACGGAGGAUCCGAGCGUUAUCCGGAUUUAUUGGGUUUAAAGGGUGCGUAGGUGGCCUGUUAAGUCAGGGGUGAAAGACGGUAGCUUAACUAUCGCAGUGCCCUUGAUACUGAUGGGCUUGAAUGAACUAGAGGUAGGCGGAAUGUGACAAGUAGCGGUGAAAUGCAUAGAUAUGUCACAGAACACCAAUUGCGAAGGCAGCUUACUAUGGUUUUAUUGACACUGAGGCACGAAAGCGUGGGGAUCAAACAGGAUUAGAUACCCCUGUAGUCCCUGUCUCUUAUAC